AUAGUCCCCGGAGAAGCUCUCAGACAGCGCACUGUAUGUCCCUGCACCCCAUCAGCGUGUGUGUGACACGACAACACCCCACAUGUACUCAACAUGUGAUAUGCGGAAGAGCCGGCCAUUUCCAUGCGUGCGACGGUGUGUCUGUAUCAGCGUGUGUGUGUGCGUUUGAAGAGACAAUCCUUCAUGAGUGAGUCACUCAGCCUGUGAAUAAAAAGCUCGUUUGCAGCCAGAUGCCUCCUUCCAGCUGCAAUGUAGGAGGAAAUGCAGCGUUAACUGCGCAUUUUAGACGCUGUCUCUGUACUGUCUGUAAGAAGCAGGGCUCGUCAGAAGCUUAACUGUUGCCACCGACACAGGUGUAAUUUCACCAGCGGCCGUCACCGUCUGAACUACGGCAAAAAAUAACUCAACGUGCUACUCAGAGGACCACGGCCAAGCUGGCUGCUAAAAGGAAGACAUUUUUUUUUCCGGUGGGAGAUCUUCACACGUCCCAGAUGACUGUUGGCCAGAGAACAGGACUUGAUGAACUGCCAGAAUGCGAGCUACACAGGCAGAAAAAAAAAAUGAACAGACCAGCUAAGACAACAGAAUGCACAGGAAAGCGGCACUUAAUAGCAAAGACUCAAGCAAUUUAUCCUCAUUAAAAUGGGAGCCAAAGUGAAUUACAGAGGUGCAAUUCCUCAGAAGGGCUUGUGCAUAACACCCAGGAGAGGCUUCAGAUCUUUCUGAGGAUGACAACACUGCUUUUGGUCAGGAAGAGCAUUAAACUUGACUUUUUGCGGAAGGAAAACAAAUCCAGCAGAUGGCUUUUGCCGAGGCGUAGGGAGAAAGCAAAGGACGAGGUUGCCCUGUGAUGGACUGGCAUCCCAUGCAGGGUCUUCCCCCAGCCCUGUGCACUGUACUGGCUGGUACUGGUUCCAGUUUCACUGCAGCCCUGGGAUAGAUAAGUGUUAUGGAAGGAUAAAUGACAGGGUCUGCAGUGUACUGGAAAUCAUUUGUGAGCAGAAAUCCGACUGCUACUUUCAGAGUGCUCUCACCAAAAGACAUUAAGAUAAGCAGAAUACAGUCCAUGUCUCAAGCUCUGGAGGAACCAGCUUCAUUCGUCUUAUACAUAUCCUUCUGAAGCUGGGAAGAUAGUCCUUUGGGUACAUGCUCAUGACCACAUGACCAGUUAUUGUGCGACUGGACACUAUAAUCAGCUCAUAGCUGGACAGCAUGGCUGCAUUGCGUGGGGGAGGACUUUGGCCGUUUUGUGUUUCGGGAAGAGUGGGUGAGAAGCUGAGGCUUGAGGACUGGGGGCUGCUGCCUGCUGUGUGAUGGAGAAGAAGGACAAGAUGAACUGAUGAGCCAUGAGAAAAGAGAGUGAAAAGUGGGGAUAAAGAGUAAGAGAGAGGGAGCAAGAGGGACCUAUCCUACAUGUCUGGAUGAUGCCUGGCGUGGGCACCAUCUGAGAUGGAGUCCUGCUUCAGUCCCAUGGAGGGGUGACAUCGUGGAUGCGACUAAACUGUAACAUUGAAGGUCCAACCUUCAAUCUGCCUCCCUACACAAGGCGAGGUGGAGAACUUACUCACUGAUGGACUUUGGCUGUGACCUUGACCACAGUUUACACCUAGUUUUUAGCAAACAAGCCCACCCUUUCAUUUUCUGUAAUAUUAGCAUGCCCAAGGGGGGUUCGGCAGCCAGUUGACCUUGAACCCCCUGUGGUUUUUUUUCCCCCUACUUGGGAGUUAUUGGUUCCUCUCCUCCAUUGUCAUCUGACUUUUCUUUCUUUCUUUCUUUCUUUCUUUCUUUCUUUCUUUCUUUCUUUCUUUCUUUCUUUCUUUCUUUCUUUCUUUCUUUCUUUCUUUCUUUCUUUCUUUCUUUCUUUCUUUCUUUCUUUCGCUGUUGUAAUGUAUCACGCCAUACCCAUG